rnacentral:rRNA from 1 species
AGUGAACGCUGGCGGUAGGCCUAACACAUGCAAGUCGAACGGCAGCACAGUAAGAGCUUGCUCUUACGGGUGGCGAGUGGCGGACGGGUGAGGAAUACAUCGGAAUCUACUUUUUCGUGGGGGAUAACGUAGGGAAACUUACGCUAAUACCUCAUACGACCUACGGGUGAAAGCAGUGGAUCUUCGCACCUUGCGCGAUUGAAUGAGCCGAUGUCGGAUUAGCUAGUUGGCGGGGUAAAGGCACACCAAGGCGACGAUCCGUAGCUGGCCUGAGAGGAUGAUCAGCCACACUGGAGCUGAGACACGGUCCAGACUCCUACGGGAGGCAGCAGUGGGGAAUAUUGGACAAUGGGCGCAAGCCUGAUCCAGCCAUACCGCGUGGGUGAAGAAGGCCUUCGGGUUGUAAAGCCCUUUUAUUGGGAAAGAAAAGCAGCAGGUUAAUACCCCGCUGUUCUGACGGUACCCAAAGAAUAAGCACCGGCUAACUUCGUG